GAAUUCGCCCUUAGAGUUUGAUCCUGGCUCAGGAUGAACGCUGGCGGCGUGCUUAACACAUGCAAGUCGAACGGGGCACCCCCAAAGGAGUUUUCGGACAACUGCGGGGAAUGCCUAGUGGCGGACGGGUGAGUAACGCGUGAGCAACCUGCCAUGGAGUGGGGAAUAACAGAUGGAAACAUCUGCUAAUACCGCAUGAUGCAGUUGGGCCACAUGGCUCUGACUGCCAAAGAUUUAUCGCUCUGAGAUGGGCUCGCGUCUGAUUAGCUAGUUGGCGGGGCAACGGCCCACCAAGGCGACGAUCAGUAGCCGGACUGAGAGGUUGGCCGGCCACAUUGGGACUGAGACACGGCCCAGACUCCUACGGGAGGCAGCAGUGGGGAAUAUUGGGCAAUGGGCGCAAGCCUGACCCAGCAACGCCGCGUGAAGGAAGAAGGCUUUCGGGUUGUAAACUUCUUUUCUCAGGGACGAACAGAUGACGGUACCUGAGGAAUAAGCCACGGCUAACUACGUGCCAGCAGCCGCGGUAAUACGUAGGUGGCAAGCGUUAUCCGGAUUUACUGGGUGUAAAGGGCGUGUAGGCGGGGACGCAAGUCAGAUGUGAAAACCACGGGCUCAACCUGUGGCCUGCAUUUGAAACUGUGUUUCUUGAGUACUGGAGAGGCAGACGGAAUUCCUAGUGUAGCGGUGAAAUGCGUAGAUAUUAGGAGGAACACCAGUGGCGAAGGCGGUCUGCUGGACAGCAACUGACGCUGAGGCGCGAAAGCGUGGGGAGCAAACAGGAUUAGAUACCCUGGUAGUCCACGCUGUAAACGAUGGAUACUAGGUGUGGGGGGACUGACCCCCUCCGUGCCGCAUUUAACACAAUAAGUAUCCCACCUGGGGAGUACGAUCGCAAGGUUGAAACUCAAAGGAAUUGACGGGGGCCCGCACAAGCGGUGGAGCAUGUGGUUUAAUUCGAGGCAACGCGAAGAACCUUACCCAGCCUUGACAUCCCGGCGAGAACGGGGCAAUGCCCGUUGCCCUUCGGGGCGCCGGAGACAGGUGGUGCAUGGUUGUCGUCAGCUCGUGUCGUGAGAUGUUGGGUCAAGUCCCGCAACGAGCGCAACCCCUGCCCCCAGUAGCCAGCGUAGAGGCGGGCACUCUGGGGGGACUGCCGGGGACAACCCGGAGGAAGGCGGGGAGGACGUCAAAUCAUCAUGCCCCUUACGGCUGGGGCUACACACGUGCUACAAUGGGGCCGACAGAGGGAAGCGGACGCGCGAGCGCGAGCGGACCCCAAAAACGGCCCCCCAGUUCGGAUUGCAGCCUGCAACUCGGCUGCAUGAAGCCGGAAUCGCUAGUAAUCGCGGAACAGAACGCCGCGGUGAAUACGUUCCCGGGUCUUGCACUCACCGCCCGUCA
rnacentral:rRNA from 1 species